UACAGGGGGGCAAGCGUUGUUCGGAAUUACUGGGCGUAAAGGGCUCGUAGGCGGCCAACUAAGUCCGACGUGAAAUCCCAAAGCUUAACUUUGGAACUGCGUCGGAUACUGGAUGGCUUGAAUUCGGGAGAGGAUGCAGAAUUCCAGGUGUAGCGGUGAAAUGCGUAGAUAUCUGGAGGAACACCGGUGGCGAAGGCGGCAUCCUGGACCGGUAUUGACGCUGACGGCGGCGAAAGCCAGGGGAGCAAAGCGGG
rnacentral:rRNA from 1 species